GAUUAAAUCUACGACCCUAUGCAUGCAAAGCAGACGCUCUACCAAUGAGCUACAGUCCUUCUCCAUAUUCAGAACUAAGCCUGAAACAGCAGCGUAGAAAUCAACAGGCUUGCCCUGGGAGUGGGGCCCACGGGCAAGGGCAGUUUUUAUACAAACAGGAGGAAAACGUACAACGGUCAUAUCUACUAUGUAGUUUGGAGACACCUUGAUUGUAAAGGCUGGAAGAUGAAAACCAGAGACACCCUUGCUUCCAAGGUUAACAUGAAAAGAGGAUGGAGCAGACUUCUGGGUGAACACAUGUGAAAGUGACAUGGCCCAGAAACAGAUGGAUUUGCCCACCCCUUACUUAUAUGUGUGGAUUUCACUGUGUAUAUCCAUGAUUUGGGGAUGGGGGAAUCACUGGUUGUAGAGCAGGUUUAUGCCCAAUAAAAUAAAUAAUGAGUGCCCACUUUAUGGAGGACUUUCAUUCUAUAGAGAAAUGAUUUCCAUGUAGAGCUCAUGUAAAAUCAGUAAAAGACAAUGUUUGGAAUGGAAGGAGAGGAGUCCAGCUCAUUAUGCAUUUAUUUAUUGACAUCUUACAUGCAUAUAUCUCUGGUUUGGGAAAUUGUAUAU